AAAACAACAUUCGGACUGUCGGUCUACCGAGCAAUUUCACUCGCUCAGUGGAAGAUCUUCCCUUUGACGUUACC
rnacentral:pre_miRNA from 1 species